rnacentral:rRNA from 2 species
UACGUAGGGGGCAAGCGUUGUCCGGAUUCAUUGGGCGUAAAGAGCGUGUAGGCGGCCAGGUAGGUCGGUUGUGAAAACUGGAGGCUCAACCUUCAGACGUCGAUCGAAACCAUCUGGCUAGAGUCCGGGAGAGGAGAGUGGAAUUCCUGGUGUAGCGGUGAAAUGCGCAGAUAUCAGGAAGAACACCCGUGGCGAAAGCGGCUCUCUGGAACGGUACUGACGCUGAGACGCGAAAGCGUGGGGAGCGAACAGG